UGGGUUGUAGCUCAGUCGUAGAGCACUUUCCUUGCAUGUGUGAGGCCCUGGGUUCAGUUCCCAGCACCACAU
rnacentral:tRNA from 1 species